rnacentral:lncRNA from 1 species
UCUUCUUCAUCCAUGCCCCAGGCCAUUCUUGAAGCUUCCAUGCCAUUUUCUCUUUAUCCACCAUGAAAUCAAGUUUUCUUCACUUUCCUUUCCAUGUUUUCUUUUCCUUUCUUCUCCAAACUUCUUGGGCAUUAAAUUUAUAGCCUUUAACCCCAAUUUCUAGCACACCAAAACCCUAGGAGGAGAAGAAAGAAAAAGAGAGAAAGGAAGAAAAAGCUUGGUUUUGGUGAUUCAAGCAAGGAACAGUAAGAAUUCUUGUUUUUGGCUUGAGUAGUCUUUGAAAAUGAGUUAGUGACUUAGAGAAAUAUCUUGUGGCAGCAAAGAUUGGCUUGAUUGGAGAAAAAUAGGUAACAUAUAAGCCAAUAAACCCAUGGGUACAUGAAGGACUUAAAGUGGAAAAGGAAAACGGUAAGCUUAACAUUAUGUUUUAAAGCCUACGGUUAGUUGAAUAUUGUGAGGAAUUAUGGUUGUUGAAAGGAUUUAUUUGCCUAAGCUAGUUGAAAAUUAUUAAAAUUGUAUGGCAUGUUGUUUGAAAUAAAUGCAAAAGGAAUAUUGUGGAUGGAGGAUUGAGAAACAAAGUAUUAAAAGUUAGAUAGAUAACAAUGCAUGUGUGGAAAUAUAAUCGAGUGAAAGUUAGAAUGAUUGUUGCUGCCAUAUAUGUGGAUUAUGUGUG